UACGUAGGGUGCAAGCGUUGUCCGGAAUUAUUGGGCGUAAAGAGCUCGUAGGCGGUCUGUCGCGUCGGCUGUGAAAACUCGGGGCUCAACUCCGAGCUUGCAGUCGAUACAGGCAGGCUAGAGUUCGGCAGGGGAGACUGGAAUUCCUGGUGUAGCGGUGAAAUGCGCAGAUAUCAGGAGGAACACCGGUGGCGAAGGCGGGUCUCUGGGGCCGAUACUGACGCUGAGGAGCGAAAGCGUGGGGAGCGAACAGG
rnacentral:rRNA from 1 species